AAGACUAUAGACCUGCGGAGUACCUGCGGAAGGAUCAUUACUGGGUUCUUUUGGGCACGCUAAAACGUGACCCGCUAGCCCGCCCUCUGUUAUUCUGAAUCUGAUUGUUUCGGCCCCCCGCGGGUCUAGAGCAACUCUGAAGCAGUCUUGAAGUCUGAUACCAUAUGAAAUGAAAAAAAAACUUUCAACAACGGAUCUCU
rnacentral:misc_RNA from 1 species